UGGCGGACGGGUGAGUAAUGCGUGGGAAUCUGUCUUUUAGUGGGGGACAACCCAGGGAAACUUGGGCUAAUACCGCAUGAGCCCUGAGGGGGAAAGCGGGGGAUCUUCGGACCUCGCGCUAAGAGAGGAGCCUACGUCCGAUUAGCUAGUUGGCGGGGUAAAGGCCCACCAAGGCGACGAUCGGUAGCUGGUCUGAGAGGACGACCAGCCACACUGGGACUGAGACACGGCCCAGACUCCUACGGGAGGCAGCAGUGGGGAAUUUUUCGCAAUGGGGGCAACCCUGACGAAGCAAUGCCGCGUGGAUGAAGAAGGCCUUCGGGUUGUAAAGUCCUUUCGUGGAGGACGAAAAGGUGGGUUCUAAUACAAUCUGCUAUUGACGUGAAUCCAAGAAGAAGCACCGGCUAACUCCGUGCCAGCAGCCGCGGUAAU
rnacentral:rRNA from 1 species